rnacentral:rRNA from 1 species
AAUAGAUACCCCGGUAGUCCACGCCGUAAACGAUGAGUGCUAAGUGUUAGGGGGUUUCCGCCCCUUAGUGCUGCAGCUAACGCAUUAAGCACUCCGCCUGGGGAGUACGGCCGCAAGGCUGAAACUCAAAGGAAUUGACGGGGGCCCGCACAAGCGGUGGAGCAUGUGGUUUAAUUCGAAGCAACGCGAAGAACCUUACCAGGUCUUGACAUCCUCUGACAAUCCUAGAGAUAGGACGUUUCCCUUCGGGGAACAGAGUGACAGGUGGUGCAUGGUUGUCGUCAGCUCGUGUCGUGAGAUGUUGGGUUAAGUCCCGCAACGAGCGCAACCCUUGAUCUUAGUUGCCAGCAUUCAGUUGGGCACUCUAAGGUGACUGCCGGUGACAAACCGGAGGAAGGUGGGGAUGACGUCAAAUCAUCAUGCCCCUUAUGACCUGAGCUACACACGUGCUACAAUGGAUGGUACAAAGAGCUGCAAGACCGCGAGGUUUAGCCAAUCCCAUAAACCAUUCUCAGUUCGGAUUGCG